UACGGGGGGGGCAAGCGUUGUUCGGAAUUACUGGGCGUAAAGGGCUCGUAGGCGGCCAACUAAGUCGGAUGUGAAAUCCCCAGGCUUAACCUGGGAACUGCAUCCGAUACUGGAUGGCUUGAAUUCGGGAGAGGGAUGCAGAAUUCCAGGUGUAGCGGUGAAAUGCGUAGAUAUCUGGAGGAACAUCAGUGGCGAAGGCGGCUGUCUGGCCCAAUACUGACACUCAGGUGCGACAGCGUGGGGAGCAAACAGG
rnacentral:rRNA from 1 species